rnacentral:rRNA from 1 species
UACAGAGGGUGCUAGCGUUGUCCGGAAUCAUUGGGCGUAAAGCGCGUGUAGGCGGUCCGGUAAGUCCGCUGUGAAAGUCGGGGGCUCAACCCUCGAAUGCCGGUGGAUACUGUCGGGCUAGAGUGCGGAAGAGGCGAGUGGAAUUCCUGGUGUAGCGGUGAAAUGCGCAGAUAUCAGGAAGAACACCAGAGGCGAAGGCGGCCUGCUGGGCUGCACCUGACGCUGAGCCGCGAAAGCCCAGGGGAGCGAACGGGG